CACGAUAGGAACUCCUCAUGAAUAUUUUACUUUCUGAAUCUUCUUUAAAUUGGUCACUUUAUGCCCAUUUCCACUGUUGCUUCUCAAGUUCUGGCCCUCAUUACCUCUGUUUCUGUAAUAUAAUAGCUUUCUUACUAGUUUUAGUCUCUAGUAUGACUUAAAUAAGUCAUUUUAAUCCAUCUUUCCUCUGUGACCCAAGUAAACUUUCCGAAACAUAACUGUACCGUUCAUUCCUCUGCUUACCAUUCACCUGCAGAAUAAGGUCCGCCGCCGCCCUUUGUGAUGUGGCACCUGUCUGCGUGCUGAAGGCCCAUUUCCAACCAGAGCCGCCCCCCCACCCCCCCCCCCCCGCCCCAGUGUGCCCUCUGCGUGCUCACACGGUGCCACGUGCGAGUUAUCCCCAGAGGCUGUGCUGUGCUCAGUGUUGCUUACGCAUGCUCCUCCUCCUGUCUGGAAGGUCCUGUGCCAAUGUCGAUCAGCUAGAACCUCCUCCUCCUGGCCACGGCUGAGCCUUUAUUCAUCAGCCUGGGCUGAACUUCCGUGCCCCAGUUGUACUUUCUGCAUCUCCGUUGCUGCGUCAGUGAUGAUUCUAUGUGUCCCACUAGACUGUACGUUCCUUGAUAGCCUCAUACUGUGUCCAGUGUUUAGAACAGGGCCAGUCACCACAAGGUGUUCUGUAAGUAAAUAUUUACCAAAUGAAUGGGAUUUUAACUAGGCAGUUUUGUCAGGAAGGGUGCCAGUGCUUAACUUGCAUGAAGAGGUCAUCUGAUCCCACUUCUGUUGUGUCAAAUGUCUGUUUCUGGUUUUUUCCCCCAUACUUAGUACAUUGCUGAAUUUUAGCUUUAUUUUUUAAAUGAUUUUUAUUUUUUUCAUUAUAGUGGGUUUAUAGUGUUCUGUCAAUUUCCACUGUACAGCAGAGUGACCCAGUCACGCGUGUGUAUAUACCUUCUUCUCCUCACGUUGUCCUCCAUCAUGUUCCAUCCUAAGUGACUAGAUAGAGUUCCCUGUGCGGCGCUGUAGGAUCUCAUGGCUUAUCCACUCCACAGGCAAUAGUUUGCAUCUGUUAACCCCAGACUCCCAGUCCCUCCCAGCUUUCCUGUUGAAAUUGGGUGACCAAAUGAAGGGGAUGGGGUAGGAAAAAUAUCAGCUGUCCUUUGGCAAAGUUCAUGGUGUACACACUGUGGAACUAGACUGAAGAAAUGGUCUUAAUCUGUUUAUUUUUUGAGUUUGGAUCCUAGUCACUCCUUGGAAGAUAAUCCCUCUGAAAACAUUAUCAGUUCCUCAAUUUUAAUAAGAUUAACUAUCUUAGUUUUUUCAUACCAAGUACCUUUCUUGGGCAGGUGACUCUCCUACCACUUGACAUAGAAACUGUGAUCCAUGGAGUUCCCUCUGCUCAACCCCUAGCCUGGGAGUUUCCAUAUGCUGUGGGCACGGCCCUAAAAAAAAAAAAAAGGAGUUCCUGUCAUGGCUCAGGGGAAACAAAUCUGAGUAGUAUCCAUGAGGUUGCACGUUCGAUCACUGGCCUCACUCAGUGGGUCAAGGAUCCAGCGUUGCUGUGAGCUGUGGUGUAGGUCACAGACACAGCUCAGGUCUGAACAUUGCUGUGGCUGUGGUGUAGGCCCGUGGCUGCAGCUCCAGUUUGACUCUAGCUUGGGAACCUACAUGUGCCGCCAGUGUGGCCCUAAAAAGAUGAAAGAAGGAAUGAAAGAAAGGAGUGGGUGAGGGAUAGGGGGUGGGGAAGGAAGGAAAAGAAAAGAAGGAAGAAGGAAAAGAAAGGAAGGAAGAAGGAAAGAAAGGACGAAACAGUGACCCAUGAGUCUAGCCAAAAAAAAAAAAAAGACGGUCAUAAAUCUGCCCUCCUACAUUAACCCUGACAGUAUAUGCUCUUCUUUUUUCUUUCCUUUUUUUUUUUUUUGAUUUAGUAUAUAAAAGAAUUCAAUGUCUAUAAAUCUUGUCUCCUAUUCCUGAAAACUUAGUGGUUUAAAACAGUGCAGAUUUUUUUCUCUCACACUCCUGCAGGUCGGAAGUUCAGGUGGAAUGAGCUGGUUCCUCUGCUCUAGGUCUCUGCAGGCUGAGCCAGGUGUCAGCUGGCCUGGGCUAUGGGGACAGAUCUACUCCCAGACCCAUCCGAUUGUGACCAAGACUCGUUGCUUGUAGCUGUGGCCUUGCUGUUGUUUUGUCCGGGCCUCUCUCAGAUGCUUGAAGCCUCUUGGGUUCCUCCUCUGCAUCCUUCAUCUUUAAACCAGCAAUAGUGCAUUGAGUCCUCACACUUCACAUACCUCUUCCUCCCUCUACCACAUCUGUUCUACCUCUAUCCAGAGAAAGUCCUCUGCUUUUAAGGGUUCUUGCCAUUAGAUGAGACCCACGAGGAUAUUCCAGGGUAAUAUCUAAACUAAAGUCUGUAUAACCUUAACUACAUCUGCUAAGUCCGUUUGCCAUGAAACAUAGGAAAUUUCAGGUUUGUAUAUUUCAGGUUCUGGAGCCUAGGAUCUGACAUCUUAAGGAGUCAUUCUGCCUACCACACUAUCUAUGCAAAGUAAUUUGUAAACCCCAAAGUGUUCAGAGUUCCCAUCUAGCAGUCCCUUGACUUGGCAUGAAAUAAAUAUUAACCUAGAAACUUAAAAUGGAAAUUUUGAUGUGCAGUUGUCCCUCAGUACCCAUGACAGAUUGGUUCCGGGACUCAGCCCAGACACCAAAAUCUUGAGCUGCUCAAGUCUCAUAGUCAGCCCUCCGUGUGCACAGAUGCAGAACCUGGAAAACGGAGGGCUAUGUAUUUACCGGGGAAAAAAAAUCCAUAUAUUAAGUGAUCCCAUGUUGUUCAAGGGUCAACUGUAUUCUGAAAGUAAAGCAUGGAGACCUUUUUACGAGUGGCAGAUGCGCACAUGUUGAGAAUCUAAGCAUGACUACAGGUCCUUCGAACCAAGGUAGUAUAGUAUACAUUAAUACCAAAGUCAUAUUUGUUUAUUUAUUUGUUUGUUUGUCUUUUAGGGCCACACCUCUGGCAUAUGGAAGUUCCCAGACUAGGGGUCGAAUCGGAGCUACAGCGGUCGGCCUACACCACAGUCACAGCAACGCCAGAUCCAAGCUACAACUGUGACCUACACCACAACUCACGACAGUGCCAGCUCCUUAACCAACACUGAGUGAGGCCAGGGAUCAAACCCGAGUCCUCAUGGAUUCUAGUCGGGUUCUUAACCCACUGAGCCAUGACGGGAGUUCCUCUCCUUUUUUUAGA
rnacentral:lncRNA from 1 species